AUCUAAGUACCCGGAGGAAAAGAAAACAAUUUAGUGAUUUCCCAAGUAGUGGCGAGCGAAAAGGAAAUAGCCCAAACCCCGGCGGUUACGGCCGACGGGGGGUUGUAGGACCGGUUUUUAAACAAUCAACCGAAGCAUAAGAGUUCUGGAAAGUGCUACCAUAGAGGGUGAUAGUCCCGUUUGCGUAAGUUUGAUUGUUGUACCGGUAUCCUGAGUACUGCGAGGUCGGAGACGCCUUGUAGGAAUCUGCCAGCACCAUCUGGUAAGGCUAAAUACUCUCAAGAGACCGAUAGUGAACUAGUACUGUGAAGGAAAGGUGAAAAGAACCGCGAACAGCGGAGUGAAAUAGAACCUGAAACCAUGCGCUUACAAGCGGUCGGAGCCCUUCGGGGUGACGGCGUGCCUUUUGCAUAAUGAGCCUACGAGUUACUCUUCACUGGCAAGGUUAAUCCCGUUGACGGGAGGAGCCGAAGCGAAAGCGAGUCUGAAUAGGGCGCAUAGUCAGUGGAGGUAGACGCGAAACCUUGUGAUCUACCCUUGGCCAGGUUGAAGUCUCGGUAACACGAGAUGGAGGACCGAACUGGUAAACGUUGAAAAGUUUUCGGAUGAGCUGAGGGUAGGGGUGAAAGGCUAAUCAAACUGGGAAAUAGCUCGUACUCCCCGAAAUGUUUUUAGGAACAGCCUCGAGGUUGAGUAUUACAGAGGUAGAGCUACCGAUUGGACUAGGGGGCUUCACCGCCUACCAAAUCCUGACGAACUCCGAAUACUGUAAUAUAUACUCGGGAGUGAGCCCAUGGGUGCUAAGGUCCUUGGGCGAGAGGGAAAGAACCCAGACCAACAGCUAAGGUCCCCAAAUGUAUGUUAAGUUGAUCUAACGUGGUCCGAUUGCAUUGACAGCUAGGAUGUUUGCUUGGAAGCAGCAAUUCAUUUAAAGAGUGCGUAACAGCUCACUAGUCGAGCGAUUGGGCGUGGAUAAUACUCGGGCAUUAAACAUACUACCGAAGCUUUGGACAUAGUAAUAUGUGGUAGGGGAGCAUUCCAACAACACUGAAGGUAUGGCUUGAGCCGUGCUGGAGAUGUUGGAAAAGCAAAUGUAGGCAUAAGUAACGAUAAUGCAGGCGAGAAACCUGCACACCGAAAACCCAAGGUUUCCUGAUCAACGCUAAUCGGAUCAGGGUUAGUCGGGGCCUAACACGUAUCCGAACGGAGAAGUGGAUGGACAACAGGUUAAUAUUCCUGUACCGGUACAGAAUGCGAUGUAGAGACGAAGUAGUGAAAGAUCUGCGCACUGACGGAUUAGUGCGUUAAAGGGUGUAGGUAUAGAUUUGGUAGGUAAAUCCGCCAAGUCUGCCGAACCUGACAGUACCGCGAGUCUUCGGACAAGCGGAUAAUGAUCCUAAACAGACUUCCAAGAAAAUCUGCUAAGCUUCAGUUUUGUACCGCCCGUACCGUAAACCGACACAGGUGGGUGGGAAGAAUAUUCUAAGGUGCUCGAGUGAGUCACGGCUAAGGAACUAGGCAAAAUGACCCUGUAACUUCGGAAGAAAGGGUACCCGUCGAAAGGCGGGUCGCAGAGAAAUGGUCCAGGCAACUGUUUAUCAAAAACACAUGGCUAUGCUAAAUCGAAAGAUGAUGUAUAUGGCCUGACACCUGCCCGGUGCCGGAAGGUUAAAAGGAGAUGUCAGUCGCAAGGCGAAGCAUUGAAUUGAAGCCCCGGUAAACGGCGGCCGUAACUAUAACGGUCCUAAGGUAGCGAAAUUCCUUGUCGGGUAAGUUCCGACCUGCACGAAUG
rnacentral:rRNA from 1 species